rfam:Pythium ultimum DAOM BR144 ctg_1117875579193, whole genome shotgun sequence.
CCAUUGGACUUUUUAAAGUCCACAAGAAAAUAUUAUAAAGCUAAAG